CCCGCCACUAUACCAGAAUCAUGUGUCUCGGUAUAAUCCAGUGGUGAGCUUAGAGCGACCUCCUCUUAGGAAACAGGGCUGCUCUGUGUCCAUGGUCUGCCCUGUGCCGAAAGAUGGAGAACACAA